UAUUCUGUACCUUUGUAGGCUCACACAUAGAGAUUAGGUGGGUACUGGGGCCAACCCAUCUCCCUGUGAGUACUUUCUGUAAGUGGCUUCCUGACCUUGGGCAAGAUGCUUAGCCCUUCUGGGCUUCUGUAUCCUCAAGUGUAUAUCAGAACACUAGGAAUUCCUACGGCUUAUAGCUCUUGGGAGGAGUGACAGACAAAUGCCCGUGGAAGGGCUUAGGUGAGGUUGGAGAGGUGACUGGGGAGCGAAGAGUGCAGCAGUCUGCCUUCAGACGAUGGGCUCAUUCAUGCACCCCAUCUCAGGGGCUCACAACCUCCUGUAACUCCAGUUCCAGGACCUCAAGCCUCCACACAAGUGAACAACCCCAAACCCAGGAGACUGCGGAGAAAUGAUCUGCCCAUUCCUAUAAUUGGAAGAUGGAGUCAGGAAGCUUAGAAUUUCAAGGCCAGCCUCAGCUAAACGGGGAGUUCAAGAGCAUGUAGUUCUAUACAAACAACACCCUGUCUCAAAAAAAAAAAAAAAUUAAAACCAAAACCAAACCAAAAGAAAACCCAAAGCAUUUGGGAGAAAGAGGCACAAUCAGGUGGAUCUCUAUGACCAGGGUGGUCUACAUGUUGAGUCUCAGGCCAGCCAGGACUACACGGUGAGAUCCUUUCUCAAAGAGCCAACAAGCAAGCAGAUGCGGACAUCUUCUGAAAGACUCAGAUACAAUCUCCCAGCAGUGAAUGCUGUGUUUGGGUCCCUGGUCUUGGAGGUGCACAGGUGGUUCCAUGCUCUUGGACUUAACAGUUUGAUGCUCCCUCCGGGCUGGGAAUGCCCCAUACAAUGCCUAACUGGAAAGAGCAAGUCUCAAACAUUCAGCAUUUAGAAACCACCUGGAGGCACUUUGGGCCAUGGAGCCAGCCACGCUAGCUCCAAAUGCUUGGAUUCAAAGGACAGAAACAAAGAGUAAACAGUAUCCAGCCCUUUUCAAACAACA